UCCUUUGCUCCCUCUUCCACCCCACUCACCUUCUCUCAUUUCUUUGGGUGCUCCCUGCUCUCUCAUCACAGGGAUUUCACAGCCGCACCCCUCUGCCUGCAGUGCUCUUGAGUCUGCCUUCCCAUGCCCUCCACAUGCCCUUGGCAGGGUUGAUUAGGUUAGGGGCUUUCUUAAUGCACCUGGUACUUCUGCAUCAUGGCACUCACCUCAAUUUGUAAUUGGAUAUCUACAUGUUGAUUAUUUGAUUAUUGCUUAUCUCCCUCAAUAGACUAUAAGCUUCAUGAGGACAUGUUUUUGUCCAUGAUUAUAUUCUGGUGAUUGACCUAGAUGUACAUAGGAAAAGCCCAAAACAUCUUUUAAAUUUCUUUUUUUUUUUUCUUUUUAAGAUGGAGUCUCACUCUGUCACCAGGCUGGAGUGCAGUGGCACUAUCUCUGCUCACUUCAAGCUCCACCUACUGGGUUUGAGCGAUUCUCCUCCCUCAGCCUCCGGAGUAGCUGGGGCUACAGGACACAGAAGGCACUAUCCAUGAACCAGAAAGCGGGCCCUCACCAGACAUCGAAUCUGCCAGCACCUUGAUCUCGCACUUUCCAGCCUCCAGGACUUCGAGAAAUAAAUUUCUGUUGUUUAAAAGCUAUACAGUUUACGGUAUUUUGUUGUGAGCCGGAGUGUACUGAGAGGAUACCUUUCUGAUAUUCAUCAUAAGAUUUGGUUUCUGGUAGGCACUCUCCAAAUGCUAUAUAGUGCUUUAUUG
rnacentral:lncRNA from 1 species